rnacentral:ncRNA from 1 species
CGAGGCUUGGAAUCAUGAUGCUGUGGGCCUCGCCAGCGUCAAGCGGGUGAUCACGGGGAUCUCCACACACCCGCCGGUAUAGCCGUUGUCUGCUUAAAGUAGGCCGCCGAGAGAUGCCCGCAUUGCUCUCGGUGCUCCGAAUUUCAUAUAGCAGCAGCGCCAUGCGCCGUGGAGGGGUAAGCCGAGUUGGACGGCUUAGAAAGCGUGGAACGCCG